rnacentral:rRNA from 1 species
UGGACUUGACAUCGUCUGAAUAUCUAAGAGAUUAGAGAAACCCUUCGGGGCAGAUAGAC